UACGUAGGGUGCGAGCGUUGCCCGGAUUUAUUGGGCGUAAAGCGCACGUAGGCGGCUUGGCAAGUCGGAUGUGAAAUCCCUCGGCUCAACCAAGGAGGUGCAUCCGAAACUGCUGAGCUUGAGUACUGAAGAGGAUCGCGGAAUUCCCGGUGUAGAGGUGAAAUUCGUAGAUAUCGGGAGGAACACCAGUGGCGAAGGCGGCGAUCUGGGAAGAUACUGACGCUGAGGUGCGAAAGCGUGGGGAGCAAACAGG
rnacentral:rRNA from 1 species